CUUCUGCUGCGCUGAACUCUCCUUCAGCUCCGGCGCCUCGUAUCGGAUCAGGUGAGUCUCAUCAGAUGUUAUUCUGCAGGUAGGAGAACCGAGUGUUUUCUGGCUGAACGUCCUGGUUGAGCUGCAGCUGGUCGGACCGGUCUGACCAGAACACGGCGAGGGCGGGCGGAGAGAGAGGAGGGUGUGAAGAAGACGAUAAGAGCCUAGGUUUGUCAGUCCGGGUCAGAACCGCUGGGCUUUCUUUACUCAAUGAUGAAGUUUUUUGAUCCCAGUUGUCGCAGCAGGAUUACCUGAGCGUCUGGAGCAGAGUGGAAAACCGGAUCGGACCUUUUCCGACUUAUCAGCUGCUUGGUGAAGGAGAGCCAUCAUGAGCGGACAGGGCGAGGGGCCCCGGGGGUCCAGGAUGCCCCAGAACGUCAAGCCUAAACCGGGCCAGCCGGCUCCGACCCGGAAGGACGGGCCCCAGAAGGCGCGGCGCUCCCGCAGCAGCGACUCAGAGCGAGGGAGGAGGCGGGAGCGUCACCACGGCGACCGGCACCGGAGGGGCCGCAGUGAGGAGACGCGGUGGCGGGACGGGAAGGACGCGGAGCGGCGGGACGCGCCCCCCGUGGACAUGCUGGGGGACACGGAGUGCGCCGUGUGCUUCUGUUCCUAUGACAACGUCUUCAAGACGCCCAAGCUGCUGGCCUGUGGUCACACCUUCUGCCUGGAGUGCCUGGCGCGCAUCAACGUCACAUCGCCGGAGAUCAAGACGCUGUCGUGCCCCGUGUGCCGCGUCCUGACCGAGCUGCCCCACGGCCGCGACCUGCCCCGCCUGGGCAACAACCAGGACGUCAUCGGCCGCCUGCCGGGCAACAUGCACCGCGCGCUGUCCGUCCGCUUCCAGCGCAGCAAGGGCCGGCUGCUGCUGAAGCACCCGCCCCCCACCGCCAAGCCCGCCGUCCUCAGCCUGCCCGUCAAGAAGCAGCAGGCCCCGCCGGCGGCCGCCCACGGCGCCGACCUGGCCGCCGCAGAGGAGGGUGGCGCCCCGCCCACCAUGGUGGACGUGGGCAGACCGCCGAGCAGGAUGAGGGGCCGCAUGCGGCGCCUGUUCCACUCCGACCGCUGCUACUACGCCGUGGUGGCGUCCAUCAUCACCAUCACCGUGGCGCUGAUGAUGGUGGGCAUCCUGACCUUCGUCAUCAUCCCCAAGGUGACGGUGAUCCCCGGACCCGGCAGACCCGGCGGGAACUUUACCGACUCCUCCUCACAUGAGAACGACAACUUUGAACCGGACUCGCCCUGAGGGGGCGGGGCCUGAAGGGGCGGGGCCUGAGGUAUUACUCCGGGUGGGAAACAGUGAAGGAAGGAGGAAUGAGGAAGAACAAGAUGGAGGCGUUUUUCCCAGCUGAGCAUGAAGAACUUUGACCCCUGAGGGGUCAGGAAGGAUUGCGCUGAGUUUGAAGCGGUGAAGGAAUGAAGAAGAGGAAGAUGGUGCCAUUUCUCCAGGCUGAGUGUGAAAUAUAUGGGGUUCCAUCUGUGACGAUACAGUGAAAAAUUAACAGCAAUAAUUUAUUGUUUAACCAUCAUAAGAAAAAAAAAAGGAAAUUAAUCUUUGAGUCAUCUUUUCACCAUAUUGUUAAGCUCAUUGUUUAAUUACCAAAUUAAAUAUUUAACUUCAAACUAAAAAUGUUGCUCCAAGCUAAAUAUUUAAUUAGAAAGCUAAAUAAUUAGCUGGUUAAAUAUUUACUUUGAAACUGUGACAUUUAUAACAGAAUGAAUGUAAACCUGUAACCUUGAAACCUUUUUCUCUUAUGAAAACAGAAUCAGGGGGAGAAUCGUCUCCAGACCAUGAAAAGCACUAAACCUUCUGAAACUCCGUAUUUAUACCCUGAACUCCGAACAGAACUGAUGUACAGAUAUUGACAGAACUGUGACACCUGACACUAUUGGUGAAAGCACAACGGCUGAGAGUGGGCCCAGUUCGGGCUCUGGUCGGGUCCAGGUGGACCAGCCGGUUCCACCGCAUGCCGACCCACUGCUUGAGGCCGGGUCCGUAACCCAGGGCAACAGACAGAAUACUUGAAUGUCAGGAAACAUCCGGGCAACCAAACCAGAUCCCACAUUACAGGAACAACUCCAGAAAUAAACAGAAAUCCUUUUCAUUUCAGCUACUUUCAAGUCUGGACUUUGACUAGACCAUUGCAACCUCUAGAUUCUUUUCCUUUUCUGCUGUUCUGUUGCAGAUUGGGAGUGUAGCUCUGAAAAUCAGCUGCUGUGGGAGGAUGGAAAACAAUUUAAUUUGAAAAAUAAAAACCUGAAGGAAGGAAUAUUUUAUAAUUUUAGUUAAGUUGGUAGUUUGGGUUAAACCAGGGAUCUUUGUGCUUUGCAGCAUUUCCAUGGUCAACAUCCUGCUGAAGAAAUUGUAUCAACGUUCUUUUUGCAAACUUUAGUUUUUCUUUGAUUCAAACCUAAAACUAAAAAAUUAAAUAAAACACAUUUGAGUUUGUGGCUGUAAUGUGAUAAAAUGUUUAAAUGUGAAUAUUUUCCUGUAGAUUUUAGGAAACCUCACACUGGACCUUCAGCAGCUCGGGUUCUGGACCGCUCCACGUUUUCAUUUCCAAAUAAAAUGCCACCUUUAGUUUCAUGAGUUCGGACUGGUUCUGCUUGUGUCUCGGGUUCCUUCGGGUCCCAACACAGUGACAGUUGUUCUGGACUCCUCUGAGUCUGGUGGUUCUGGGAGCUCUGACACCAGCUGAAGUGCUCUACUGCAGUUUUUCCUUCCACUAACCUUUCUAUUAUGACCUUUGACAGUAUUUCUAGUUGCUGAUGAGCCUUGUGGCUGUGACAACAUGUCUGUAUUUUGCUCAGUCUUUCAGCUGCUGUUGUUUCUGUCAGAUAUGAACUUUCUGAAUGAUAAUUUCUCAGAUUCUAGAUGAAUAUUCUGACUUGUGUAAUCUGUUCGUGUGUUUCUCUGCUCUGGAAGCUAAAUUAAGACCUUUGACCCAGUUUUAUUUGGUGCCGAGUCUCAUGACAGCUUCUCCUUGAAGACACACCCCAGUGGGACUGGAACAUGGUCUGGACCCCUCGGCCCUCCGCUGCUCCCCUCCUUUAGCCUCAUUAUGUGACUCUCUGCUCGGCUGCGGACCUCCAGGACGAACCGACUCCUUCUCGCCAUGGCUUCCACCCCCUCCGCCUCGGCCCUGUCCGCCGUGCUCCGCUGCAGGGGGAACAUCUGGACCCGGAACCCGCCGACCAAGCGGCCUGCCUCGGCGGCGUACAGCCUCGGAUUGGCCGGCGGGACGCUGCGCGACUCCCCGGCGGAGCGCGGCGGAUCAUCCCGCGGGUCCGAGUGGAGGAUUCUCCGCCGAGGAGAGCGCCUGGUGUCGGCCGCAGGGCUCUCUGUCUGCUGCAGGGGGGAUAGUGGAGACGGUGAAGCUCCGGCAGAAGUUUUUAAGAAAAAUCAUAAAUUAUCUUCUUCCAAACUUUCCCAAUCCUCGGCUUGUGGCGCCCCCAGCGGCCAAAAGGCGCCACUGCAGCAGAGAGGCGAUGUCUUCUCCAAAAUAAUUCACAUCAUUCUCCCUGAAGCAUCAGAGAGGAAAUGUUUGCAGGGCUUCAUUCAGCUUCCAGCCGGAGUCCUGAAGCUCUCCGUCUCCAUCAGCUCUGGGUUGAAGGUGCAAAACCCCGGCUCUUCCCUCACCUCCUGGGUGUCCUGGUUCAUUUUCUCAAAACGACAGAUGAAGAGCGGCAGCUCUGACCCAAUACAGGAAAACACACAGAAGCAGGAAAACAUGUGCAGUUCUGACCAACAGAUGACCCAUGACCCACCUGACUGAGCUCCACGCAGCCAGACUCCAGCUCAGCUUCCAUCUGCUUACAUUUACUCACAGGUUUGGACUUCGGCCUGCUGGCGCCGUCAGGACACGCUCGCUUUGGCUCCCGCUGAACUCAGAGUCAGGAAACAGCAAACCAACGGAAAACACAGUCUAGUAAAACGUCUGAUGAAAUUCAAACAGUGUGGCUAUUUUUUCCUUCUCACUGCACAAGAAAUCUGUUCAACACAAAAAGAAAACUAAAACACAUGAAACGGCUUUCAUGUCAUUUCCUUUGGCGAUUAUUAAAAAUGGGGUUUCAGCUUCUGAAAAUAAAAUCUGUUGCAAGUUUUCAGACAAGAAAUAUGAAAACAUGAAUGCAUUCAUUCAUUCAUUCAUCCCUUUCUUACCUGCAGUUUAAUCUGGUCAGGGUCAGAGGUCAGUCUACUGCAGGGUCAAGAAAGAGCCAGUCAUGCAUGCACACACCCAGUAAGGUCAAAGGCCAAGCUCAGGAACCAAAAGGGAAAACACUACAGAUUAUCCAGAUUAGGACUCUAGGAACCAGGAGGUCCAGAUGUUCCCACCUUGCACCCGACCUCCAGUGAUCCAUAUGAACACAUGAACACAUGAACAUGGCUUCCUGUUAGUGUUUCCAGGAAAAAGCAAAGUUCAGCUACCAACCUGGACCAGAUAUUCACCGGAUGAAUGUGGAAAAGAGUUUCAAAAAUGACCUGAUUCUGACUCUUAUUAUUUAUUAAAUCUAAAAAUGUUUUGCAGAUAAAAUUAUCACGUUUUUUUUUGUUUUUUUUACAGUGCUUGUAAAGCGGGUUGGUCUACAUUUACUUUCUCCCUGAACAGAAAGAGUUUGAAAUGUAAUCAGCCUUUCAGGAAACCAAAGCUUGCGUUUCACAUCCAGUUGAGUGUAAAAUAAAACGUUUUUUUACCAACA